rnacentral:rRNA from 1 species
RGRGGGUAGSUGSUACGAGGAGKUCGACUAAGCCAUGCGAGUUGAAUGUUCUUCGUGAACAUGGCGGACUGCUCAGUAACACGUGGACAACCUACCCUUGGGUCCGGCAUAAUCCUGGGAAACUGGGAAUAAUUCCGGAUAGGUCACCGAUGCUGGAAUGCGCGGUGGCCGAAAGCUCCGGCGCCCGAGGAUGGGUCUGCGGCCUAUCAGGGUUGUAGUGGGUGUAACGUACCUACUAGCCUACGACGGGUACGGGUUGUGAGAGCAAGAGCCCGGAGAUGGAUUCUGAGACACGAAUCCAGGCCCUACGGGGUGCAGCAGGCGCGAAAACUUUACAAUGCGGGAAACCGUGAUAAGGGGAUCUCGAGUGCCAGCAUAUAAUGUUGGCUGUCCAGAUGCCUAAAAAGCAUCUGUUAGCAAGGGCCGGGCAAGACCGGUGCCAGCCGCCGCGGUAACACCGGCGGCCCGAGUGGUAACCGCUAUUAUUGGGUCUAAAGGGUCUGUAGCCGGCCAGGUAAGUCCCUUGGGAAAUCUGGCAGCUCAACUGUCAGGCUGCUAGGGGAUACUGUUUGGCUUGGGACCGGGAGAGGUGAGAGGUACCUUGGGGGUAGGGGUGAAAUCUUGUGAUCCUCGAGGGACCACCAGUGGCGAAGGCGUCUCACCAGAACGGGUCCGACGGUAAGGGACGAAAGCUAGGGGCACGAACCGGAUUAGAUACCCGGGUAGUCCUAGCCGUAAACGAUGCUCGCUAGGUGUCAGUCACGGUGCGACCGUGAUUGGUGCCGUAGGGAAGCCGUGAAGCGAGCCACCUGGGAAGUAUGGCCGCAAGGCUGAAACUUAAAGGAAUUGGCGGGGGAGCACUACAWCGGGUGGAGCCUGCGGUUUAAUUG